UGCGUAGGUGGUUCGCUAAGUCGGAUGUGAAAGCCCGGGGCUUAACCUCGGAAUUGCGUUUGAUACUGGCGAGCUAGAGUGUGGUAGAGGGUGGUGGAAUUCCCGGUGUAGCGGUGAAAUGCGUAGAUAUCGGGAGGAACAUCAGUGGCGAAGGCGGCCACCUGGACCAACACUGACACUGAGGCACGAAAGCGUGGGUAGCAAACAGGAUUAGAUACCCUGGUAGUCCACGCCGUAAACGAUGAGAACUAGACGUCGGGGAGUUUAAUCUUCUUGGUGUCGCAGCUAACGCAAUAAGUUCUCCGCCUGGGGAGUACGGCCGCAAGGUUAAA
rnacentral:rRNA from 1 species